rnacentral:tRNA from 1 species
GGUUGUGGCUCAGUGGGAGAGCACUUGCCUAGCAUGUGUGAGGCACUGGGUUCAAUUCUCAGCACCA